rnacentral:rRNA from 1 species
AUUGAACGCUGGCGGCAGGCUUAACACAUGCAAGUCGAGCGGAGAUGAGGUGCUUGCACCUUAUCUUAGCGGCGGACGGGUGAGUAAUGCUUAGGAAUCUGCCUAUUAGUGGGGGACAACAUUCCAAAAGGAAUGCUAAUACCGCAUACGCCCUACGGGGGAAAGCAGGGGAUCUUCGGACCUUGCGCUAAUAGAUGAGCCGAAGUCGGAUUAGCUAGUUGGUGGGGUAAAGGCCUACCAAGGCGACGAUCUGUAGCGGGUCUGAGAGGAUGAUCCGCCACACUGGGACUGAGACACGGCCCAGACUCCUACGGGAGGCAGCAGUGGGGAAUAUUGGACAAUGGGCGGAAGCCUGAUCCAGCCAUGCCGCGUGUGUGAAGAAGGCCUUUUGGUUGUAAAGCACUUUAAGCGAGGAGGAGGCUACCUGGAUUAAUACUCUAGGAUAGUGGACGUUACUCGCAGAAUAAGCACCGGCUAACUCUGUGCCAGCAGCCGCCGCAGUAA